AUUGAACGCUGGCGGCAGGCCUAACACAUGCAAGUCGAGCGGAUGAGGGGUGCUUGCACCCCGAUUCAGCGGCGGACGGGUGAGUAAUGCCUAGGAAUCUGCCCGAUAGUGGGGGACAACGUUUCGAAAGGAACGCUAAUACCGCAUACGUCCUACGGGAGAAAGUGGGGGCUCUUCGGACCUCACGCUAUCGGAUGAGCCUGGGUUGGAUUAGCUAGUUGGUGGGGUAAAGGCUCACCAAGGCGACGAUCCGUAACUGGUCUGAGAGGAUGAUCAGUCACACUGGAACUGAGACACGGUCCAGACUCCUACGGGAGGCAGCAGUGGGGAAUAUUGGACAAUGGGCGAAAGCCUGAUCCAGCCAUGCCGCGUGUGUGAAGAAGGUCUUCGGAUUGUAAAGCACUUUAAGUUGGGAGGAAGGGUUGUAGGUUAAUACCUUGCAGCCUUGACGUUACCGACAGAAUAAGCACCGGCUAACUUCGUGCCAGCCGCCGCCGUAACAC
rnacentral:rRNA from 1 species